UCAGCGAGUGUAAUACGGCCUUGAAGUUUGUCCAUUUUCCGGACUAUACAUCUGUAAAUUUUUGCAAGACAUUCUAAUGAAAGCAUCUUUGCGCUAGAGGCUUCUUCAAUAGAGAAGGAAAAUUUUAUAUUUGGUGAUGAAACGUUAUAAUUUAAAUUUUAAGUUUUAUAAAUAAAAGAAAGGUUACAUUGUAG